AGAUUGAACGCUGGCGGCAUGCCUUACACAUGCAAGUCGAACGGCAGCACGGAGCAAUCCUGGUGGCGAGUGGCGAACGGGUGAGUAAUACAUCGGAACGUGCCCAAUCGUGGGGGAUAACGCAGCGAAAGCUGUGCUAAUACCGCAUAAGAUCUACGGAUGAAAGCAGGGGAUCGCAAGACCUUGCGC
rnacentral:rRNA from 1 species